GGUUUGGAUGUUCGGGACUGAGAAUGGAGACGUGGAAGAGUCACGUGCGCGCCGGACUGUUCAAUAGAGACCGGCUCCAGAAAGACCCUUUUGCUGGAGUUUUCUCCACUUUGUCAAAGUUAGAAGGGAGACUUGAGUUGCGCGACAAACUACUAGAAAACCCUCCAAUCAGCGGUUGGAGUGGACCUGAAGACGAGAAGCCGAUCAGGCUUCAACUGCGCCUGAAGGAGUGUGAGCUGGACCGAUUUGAGCUGUCGGAGAGGGUGUCAGACCUCACAGCCACCCUGUACCUCAAAGAGGCGGAGCUGCAGUACUGCCACUCACAAGUGGUGCGGUUCCGGGGCGAAGCAGUGGCUCUCGCUCGGGAAGCUUCCAGUUUGCGGUCAGGCCUGGCGGAGUAUGAGUAUGCCCUUGAGCUCCAGUCGAAACAGUUUGCUGGGCUACAGAUCGAGAUGUCCACCCUUAGGGCAGAGUUGUCUGUGGCUUGGGUGGAGAAGGAGGAUUUGCUGGAGCGCUGGAUGGAGGAGAAGAGGCUGGAGGCAGAGCGUGUGAACAAGCACAAUGCUGCUCAGGAGAGAUGGCAUCGUUUUGCUGGUUGCCUGAACAGUCAUAAGCAUAGAGAAGCACCCAGAAUAUGUGGGCAGACAGAGGUGAGGACAAUUGGGCAGCAGUUACAUUAACAUUUUACCUGAAUACAUUUGAAUAUUUUUUGUUUUAGGGAGACAAAUGACAGUGGUCCACAGGCCUGCCUAUUGGCUACCUGAGUGCUUUAAGCACAUCCCAUGACAGAUUGUAAUAUUGCUGCUCAGCUGGAUGAACGAGUCUUUCCACAACUGGGAUUGGUUGAAUCCUAAAUUGUUUGAUCCUAUGUUUUUCUAAUAAAGGCAUACUGUGGCUGACA
rnacentral:lncRNA from 1 species